UAAAUUUCACUGAAGACUUGUCUUGCAAAUUUAACUUUUCCACUAUGCAGCUAGGGUUCGUUCAAUAUUUAAAACGCCGUCGUAACUUCCACUCUCUCUGUUUCUCAAAGUCUCUCUCACUCUCUCUCUAUAUAUAUUGCGAAUACCACUUGCUCUUCUCAAAACCCUAGUGCCGAUGAGAGAGAUAGACUUUGAGUGGAUAGAGCUUAUGCCUCAUUUCCUUGUAUUAUUUGCAUCUAUGUAUUAUACAACGUAUAAGUUCAAUUUGGUGAUUCGGUUUGUCUAUGUCUUUUUGCUCUAUUUUGCACUGGAUCAAUGAGGAAACAGAAAAUACCGAAAUAUUGAACAUGAGGAUAUAUUAAUUCUUUUGAUUGAUCGAGGAUGUGAUAAAGAAUUUAUCCGAGUUCCGAAAUUUCCAUAUUAUUGGAAAUAUUGUGGAUUACUUUUCUCUAUACCUGAGAUCUGCUUUCAUUUUUAGUUGUUUGGGAUUAGUGAAAGUGAAAAAAGACUUUUGAGUAUUACUCAGAAAUGAAACAAAAUUCCAGUUAAUUAAACCUUUAAUUUACGCCAUUUGCAUUUUUAUCUUCGUUGUUUUUGGGAAUUUGUUUGGUUAAUUUGGAUCAAUGAUGAUUAGAUUAAUUACUGUGUUAUCUUUCUAGAAUUUCCAGAUUAUAUGGGAUUGAAGAAGAUUUUUCUAACUGAGAUCCAAUCUCUUCUAUUUAGUCUUUUCUUGUUUGUUUUAUGCUAUAUCUUCCUUUUUCUCGUAGAAGGCAUCAAUGAUGAAUAAUCCAUUCGUUAUCCUUGCACUUUGAUUGUUAAAUGAAGAUAAUCAUGGGGAAAUAUUAUCUGAGAUGCUUUUCUUUU